rnacentral:misc_RNA from 1 species
GAACGUCAUCCCCACCUUCCUCCAGGUUAUCCCUGGCAGUCCCUCUAGAGUGCCCAACUUAAUGCUGGCAACUAAAGGCAAGGGUUGCGCUCGUUGCGGGACUUAACCCAACAUCUCACGACACGAGCUGACGACAACCAUGCACCACCUGUCACUUCUGUCCCCGAAGGGAAAGAUGCGAUUAGGCAUCGGUCAAAAGGAUGUCAAGCUUAGGUAAGGUUCUUCGCGUUGCUUCGAAUUAAACCACAUGCUCCGCUACUUGUGCGGGUCCCCGUCAAUUCCUUUGAGUUUUAACCUUGCGGCCGUACUCCCCAGGCGGGGCACUUAAUGCGUUAGCUACGGCACGGACCCCGUUGGUUAGGGCCCACACCUAGUGCCCAACGUUUACGGCGUGGACUAC